rnacentral:rRNA from 1 species
UGGGAACUUGUUCCCUGAAGUCAGCGGCGAACGGGUGAGUAACACGUGGGCAACCUGCCUGUAAGACUGGGAUAACUUCGGGAAACCGGAGCUAAUACCGGAUACGUUCUUUUCUCGCAUGAGGGAAGAUGGAAAGAUGGUUUCGGCUAUCACUUACAGAUGGGCCCGCGGCGCAUUAGCUAGUUGGUGGGGUAAUGGCCCACCAAGGCGACGAUGCGUAGCCGACCUGAGAGGGUGAUCGGCCACACUGGGACUGAGACACGGCCCAGACUCCUACGGGAGGCAGCAGUAGGGAAUCUUCCGCAAUGGACGAAAGUCUGACGGAGCAACGCCGCGUGAACGAUGAAGGCCUUAGGGUCGUAAAGUUCUGUUGUUAGGGAAGAA